GGACAAGAUGGACACUGAAGGUUAGACAAGAACUAAAACUUCACCUUCUGUUUAGAAACAGGGCUCCGGGGCACAUUUUUGGAUCAUAACCUUAUCACUCAAGCGUAUAGGGUGAAUACAAAGAAUGUGCUUUGUUUUUUUUUUUUUUUUUGUUUUUUGUAUUUUUUUUUUUUUCCCCAUACAGGUACAGGCACUUUGUAAAUAUGUUAUGGGUCCAAAUAGAGUGGGUAAUGUAAGUAGAGUGUAAUGUGUAUUGCUGUCUGUUCAAGCUAAAAGUUGUAAAAAAGAAAUAAAAACUUGAAUUCCAAAGAAACAGGGCUCCGAAAAAUAAUGUUAUAAUCCUUUGUUCAGGUACAACAGGUAGUUAGACAAAGCAGACAAUGAGGUGAUAAAUGUCUGGUUCAGGCUUCAGAAAGAGGAACAAAGAGGCGUUAACGGAAAAGAAAAGAGCAGCUGUGGUGCAGGUAAUGAUGGAUGAACAGGUGGGAGGUGAUCCAGGUGGUAAAAUACUGAGAUACUGCAGCGUCAGAUGGAGGCUGAAAGACAAGCAUUGACUUGAAAACACCUGGAAGCAGAUGAAUAAAUGAAAUCCAGACAGAAGGUGACGUGACAUCGUUUUACUGGAAAAGAGCUUUUAGAACCACAUCAGGAAACUGAACACGCCAUUAAAAAACCACUUUAAACCACCGGCAUCCUGUCUUUAUAUCUACAUUAAUCCAUCUUUAUAUUGUUAUUUAUGUAACAUACUUAUGAUACCAGCGUCUUGUUCUAUCCAUAUACUAACCAUGUUCCUCCUGUAUGUGUAUACGUAUCUUCAGCACAUUCAUCCUGCCCUCAAGCUUUAACUACCCAUCUCAUAGUGCACUGCUUCUGCUGCUUCUUUUGCUCUUCUGAGAUGUUGAAUUGUAUUUUCUUGUCUUCUAAUCUAAUCUAAUCUAAUCUAAUCUAAUCUAAUCUAAUCUAAUCUAAUCUAAUCUAAUCUAAUCCAGUUGAGGAACACUUUCCUGCUCUCGGUUCAGUUUCCGACUGAUGUAAACACUGGAUAAGUGUGUGAGGAGACAUUUAAAGCCAUUUCCUUCCUGUUUUCUUAAACUGACCUCUCAUGUGUCACUGUGACUCCUGAGUUCUAAAAUAAAAAAGCCUCUGACAUGAAUUUUCUUCAGUUUUCCAACAGAUCAUGAAGAUUUUCUCAUAUUUUAUCUGACUGGAGUUCAGCAUCACACUCGUGGUUUCUUCAUCACGAGGCAACUCGUUACUCAACAUCAGCUGAUGACAUGAUUUGGUCAUUUCACAUUUUAUUCCCAUGAACUGAACCACAAGGAGACACGACAAAUCAGAGUCACAGUUUUAUCCACAUUUUUCACAUGAAGUCCUGCAGCUCUAUGAAACAGAACAACAUGAAGGAGAGAGAACUCAGACACGUCCUCAGUCAGUAGAACUGUUAGAAUGAUGGAAACCAGGAAAAGACAGUUUGGUCUUCACAUCCUGCAGAUGUUGAACNUUGUUCAGAGUGACUCUAAACUUGUUGUCAUUGUGGACAAAUCAUUAACUUACAAAACAUUAUUUUUCGGAGCCCUGUUUCUAAACAGAAGGUGAAGUUUUAGUUCUUGUCUAACCUUCAGUGUCCAUCUUGUCCUCUGCAGGCUCUGUAGCGCCCCCUGCUGUCCACACCCUGAGUGUGAGCUCUGCCAGCUGCUCCCUGCUGUGUGCUGUGGACGACGCUGCAGAGAUCACACUGUGGUGGUACAAAGACCAGGAGGUGGUGAACCAGAGCAGCUCUGCUGGAUCUCUGCCUCUCACUGUGACCAAGCAGGACCUCAACUCCUCUUACAGAUGUGUGGCUGGAAACCCUGCAGAGGAAAAGACUCUCCUGGUGGAUCUUCAGGGGGUCUGUGGACCAAACUUCACCACAAACACAGAAAACACAGAACAAAGACGUUGGAUCAUAACUGGACUCCGCAUCUUUGCUGUUGUCAGUUUGUUUACACUUGCUGCCGUUUUCAUCAAGUGUGUCAACAAGAAGACAACCACAGAAAGACAAGGAUGAAUGUGUGCAGUGGAGAUCGUUCCUCAUCUGGAGAUCCUGUGACAUCAACAGAGUCUUUCCAGUGAAGACGGAGACAGCUGGCCACGCUGCUUCAAACGUCCAGCUCAAGAAGUUCUCACUGGGUCUGGCUCGCCAUCGCGUUCAGCAGAACUUAAUCCAAGCAUCUGAUCCACUCAACAAAACAAAG